UAAACAUACGGCCAGACAGACUUUGUGAGGUGGGCCCUCCGCACUAUAGCUCUGCCCUACCUGGUGCUGGAGGACGCUCUCCCCCAGCAGGUGACCUCCGGUCCCUGCCCUGUGCCCGGCUGCUGUGCCUCUCUGUAGCUGCCCACAGAAGGCUGCCCGCCUGCAUCAGGUCCUCCAGGUUCAUCUGCAGCAGGUCCCCGAGUCCCAGGCAGAAUGGCAGCCCCACCCCUCAGGCCCUCGGGAAGACAGAAUUACUUCCCGAUAACUGGAAGCCUCACUGUUAUUCUCUUGCCAGAAGCAGUGACCAAGGCAGGCCCUGGAAGUCCGGCCACUGGGCUCAAGACCUCUCUAGCUCCACCUAUCCACACUCCCAGGAACAGCUUCCGGCAAGGACUCUGGCUCUAGACAAAGCUUCUGCUCCGCGCCCACCCUCCCAAGACGAGGGAUUGGUUGGUGGACCACAUCGCGCAUCAGGCACUGGACAAACUGUCCCACAUUGGCCAGCACGUGAAUCAACACCGUCUCUUCCAUGGCCCAAGACGUGGAGCACCUGCCCCGCCGGAGGCUCCUUCUCCCUCCGUGAGAGGAGAGAGACGGACCAGGACUAGGCAGCGCCUGCACUCCCACCCUGUACCUCGGGAAGUGGGACAGAAGUGAAUUGUUUACGUGGGAAUUUAAACAAUAAAAAAUGGGCCAGGACUGAAGUCUUAGAAAAGCUUACUAACUCUUGGCAUAC
rnacentral:lncRNA from 1 species